GCUUGUCUCAAAGAUUAAGCCAUGCAUGUCUAAGUAUAAACUGCUUAUACUGUGAAACUGCGAAUGGCUCAUUAAAUCAGUUAUAGUUUAUUUGAUGGUACCUACUACUCGGAUAACCGUAGUAAUUCUAGAGCUAAUACAUGCGACAAGUCCCUACCGCGCGAGCGGGAAGGAUGUGUUUAUUAGAUACAACCAACCCUUCGGGUCCCUGGUGAAUCAUAAUAACCGAACGAACCGCAUGCUUCGGCGGCGGUGGUUCAUUCAAGUUUCUGCCCUAUCAGCUUUCGAUGGUAGGGUAUUGGCCUACCAUGGCGUUAACGGGUAACGGAGAAUUAGGGUUCGAUUCCGGAGAGGGAGCCUGAGAGAUGGCUACCACAUCCAAGGAAGGCAGCAGG
rnacentral:rRNA from 1 species